rnacentral:lncRNA from 1 species
CCUUUAUUCAAUUCAAUUCAAAUUUCAAUUACCAUACCACUUCAAUGUACAUAUUUAUAGUAUGUGACAACACAUAACAAAAUAAACAAUAAACAAUAACAACAAGAACAUUAUUACACAUAAUAAAAGUCCCCUUUCUUCAGUUAUAUCGACUGUUUUAAGAUCGAUUUACACGUGUUUACUUAAAUGUGUGAUCUUGGGCUGAUGUUUUUUUAAAGAAGAAUACAAUGUGUAUAUUCAAGAUAGCAUUUGAACAAAAUUAAAGUAUAUUCGAGAUGAUUUUCUAAAGAUUCCAUGAAUUGUCCUAAAUUUUAAGUAAAAUGAUCAUGUUCAUAAACAAUCUUCAACUUUCUACUUGGCGUCCUCACUAUUUUGAUAAGAGUCAUUAAUGACUCUUAUGUUGACAACACGCGCGUCUAGCGUAUCCAAUUCAGAUUCAAUAUUUUAAUAAAGAGUCACCACAUACAAUCACAUAUAUUUUCACAAUAGAAUAUUCAUACAGGUACAUAAAACAUACAUAUAUAUUACAACACAUUUUAAAUUUAAAUUAUAAACAUAGUACCUUCGAUAAAUAUUUACACCACUGGGUCGAUGUCACUGCUAAUGGACGUUUAGUCCUCGAGGGUAUUACCAGUCCAGUAGUCAGGACCUCGGUGUUGACAUGCAUAACAUUAUAUGGUCAUUUGUUAUAAAUUGAAUUAUUCGAAAUACUAAGGAUUUUCUUAUCCCGGGAAAGGAUAACCUUUGGUAAAAUACUAAGAUAUUACUAGACAUAUUUAGUUCAAUGCGGAAAACACUAAUGAAAAUUCAAUGUUAACUUGUCAAGCCGUUUGAAAAUCUGGUAUCUUAUAGAAUAUCAUAGUUGCACUUACUUGACCUAGCUUAACAUAUAUUAUUCUAAUACUGUUUCGAUUUAAUAAAACACAAAACUACAAAUUAAAUAUUUU